GAUCCUGGCUCAGGAUGAACGCUGGCGGCGUGCUUAACACAUGCAAGUCGAGCGAAGCAAUCUAAGUGAAGUUUUUGGAUGGAUCUUGGAUUGACUGAGCGGCGGACGGGUGAGUAACGCGUGGAUAACCUGCCUCACACAGGGGGAUAACAGUUAGAAAUGACUGCUAAUACCGCAUAAGCGCACGGCAUUGCAUGAUGCAGUGUGAAAAACUCCGGUGGUGUG
rnacentral:rRNA from 1 species